rnacentral:rRNA from 1 species
UACGUAGGGUGCAAGCGUUGUCCGGAAUUAUUGGGCGUAAAGAGCUCGUAGGCGGUCUGUCACGUCGGACUGUGAAAACCCGAGGCUCAACCUCGGGCCUGCAGUCGAUACGGGCAAACUAGAGGUACUGCAGGGGAGACUGGAAUUCCUGGUGUAGCGGUGGAAUGCGCAGACUAUCAGGAGGGAACACCGAGUCGGCGAAAGGCAG